rnacentral:rRNA from 1 species
AGCGAACGCUGGCGGCAGGCCUAACACAUGCAAGUCGAACGAACUCUUCGGAGUUAGUGGCGGACGGGUGAGUAACACGUGGGAACGUGCCUUUUGGUUCGGAAUAACUCAGGGAAACUUGUGCUAAUACCGAAUGUGCCCUUCGGGGAAAGAUUUAUCGCCAUUAGAGCGGCCCGCGUCUGAUUAGCUAGUUGGUGAGGUAACAGCUCACCAAGGCGACGAUCAGUAGCUGGUCUGAGAGGAUGAUCAGCCACACUGGGACUGAGACACGGCCCAGACUCCUACGGGAGGCAGCAGUGGGGAAUCUUGCGCAAUGGGCGAAAGCCUGACGCAGCCAUGCCGCGUGAAUGAUGAAGGUCUUAGGAUUGUAAAAUUCUUUCACCGGGGACGAUAAUGACGGUACCCGGAGAAGAAGCCCCGGCUAACUUCGUG